AUACGGAGGAUCCGAGCGUUAUCCGGAUUUAUUGGGUUUAAAGGGUGCGCAGGCGGCCAUUUAAGUCAGCGGUUAAAUCGUGGGGCUCAACCCCAUUCUGCCGUUGAUACUGGGUGGCUUGAUUGCGGUCGAGGUUGGCGGAAUUCGUUGUGUAGCGGUGAAAUGCAUAGAUAUGACGAAGAACACCGAUUGCGUAGGCAGCUGACCAGACCGCAAAUGACGCUCAUGCACGAAAGUGCGGGGAUCGAACAGGAUUAGAUACCCUGGUAGUCCGCACAGUAAACGAUGAAUACUUGUUUUCGGCGAUAUAAUGUCGGAGGCAAAGCGAAAGCGAUAAGUAUUCCACCUGGGGGGUACGCCGGCAACGGUGAAACUCAAAGGAAUUGACGGGG
rnacentral:rRNA from 1 species